rnacentral:rRNA from 1 species
GACGAACGCUGGCGGCAUGCUUAACACAUGCAAGUCGAACGGAAAGGCCUCUUUCGGGGGGUACUCGAGUGGCGAACGGGUGAGUAACACGUGAGUAACCUGCCCUUGACUUUGGGAUAACUUCAGGAAACUGGGGCUAAUACCGGAUAGGAGCUCCUGCUGCAUGGUGGGGGUUGGAAAGUUUCGGCGGUUGGGGAUGGACUCGCGGCUUAUCCGCUUGUUGGUGGGGUAGUGGCUUACCAAGGCUUUGACGGGUAGCCGGCCUGAGAGGGUGACCGGCCACAUUGGGACUGAGAUACGGCCCAGACUCCUACGGGAGGCAGCAGUGGGGAAUAUUGCACAAUGGGUGGAAGCCUGAUGCAGCAACGCCGUGUGCGGGAUGACGGCCUUCGGGUUGUAAACCGCUUUCGCUCAUGACGAAGCUUUGUGUGACGGUAGUGGGUAAAGAAGCACCGGCUAACUACGUG